AGGUGGGAGGAUUGCUUGAGCCUGGGAGGUGGAGGUUGCAGUGAGCUGAGAUCACACCCCUGCACUUCAGCCUGGGCAACAGAGCAAGACCUUGUCUC
rnacentral:miRNA from 1 species